UUGCGGUGUAAAAAAUGAGCGUGCGUCCUAUUAGCUAGUUGGGGAGGUAAUGGCUCACCAAGGCUACGAUGGGUAGGGGUUCUUAGUGGAAGGUCCCCCACACUGGCACUGAGAUACGGGCCAGACUCCUACGGGAGGCAGCAGUAGGGAAUAUUGGUCAAUGGGCGAAAGCCUGAACCAGCCAUGCCGCGUGCAGGAUGAAGGCUCUCUGAGUUGUAAACUGCUUUUGUACAGGGGCAAAAAAAUCCCUGCGGGGGUUCUUGAGAGUACUGUAAGAAUAAGCACCGGCUAAUUCCGUGCCAGCAGCCGCGGUAAUACGGGAGGUGCAAGCGUUAUCCGGUUUUAUUGGGUUUAAAGGGUGCGUAGGCGGCUUAUUAAGUCAGUUGUGAAAUCCUAGUGCUUAACGCUAGAACUGCGAUUGAUACUAUUAGGCUUGAGUUUAAGAAUAGGUA
rnacentral:rRNA from 1 species